UACGUAGGGUGCGAGCGUUAAUCGGAAUUACUGGGCGUAAAGCGUGCGCAGGCGGUUGUGCAAGACAGAUGUGAAAUCCCCGGGCUCAACCUGGGAACUGCAUUUGUGACUGCACGGCUAGAGUACGGCAGAGGGGGAUGGAAUUCCGCGUGUAGCAGUGAAAUGCGUAGAUAUGCGGAGGAACACCGAUGGCGAAGGCAGUCCCCUGGGCCUGUACUGACGCUCAUGCACGAAAGCGUGGGGAGCAAACAGG
rnacentral:rRNA from 1 species